rnacentral:rRNA from 1 species
AACGGCGAGUGAAGCGGCAAAAGCUCAAAUUUGAAAUCCUGCGGGAAUUGUAAUUUGAAGGUUUCGUGGUCUGAGUCGGCCGCGCCCAAGUCCAUUGGAACAUGGCGCCUGGGAGGGUGAGAGCCCCGUMYGGCGCACGCCGACUCUUUGCACCGCGGCUCCGACGAGUCGAGUUGUUUGGGAAUGCAGCUCUAAGUGGGUGGUAAAUUCCAUCUAAAGCUAAAUAUUGGCGAGAGACCGAUAGCGAACAAGUACAGUGAUGGAAAGAUGAAAAGCACUUUGAAAAGAGAGUGAAACAGCACGUGAAAUUGUUGAAAGGGAAGGGCUUGCAAGCAGACACGGUUUUACCGGGCCAGCGUCGAAAAGGGGGGAGGAACAAGAACUCGAGAAUGUGGCGCGCACCUUCGGGCGCGCGUGUUAUAGCUCGUGUUGACGCCUCCAUCCCUUUUCGAGGCCUGCGAUUCUAGGACGCUGGCGUAAUGGUUGCAAGCCGC